rnacentral:rRNA from 1 species
AGCGAACGCUGGCGGCAGGCCUAACACAUGCAAGUCGAACGAAGUCUUCGGACUUAGUGGCGGACGGGUGAGUAACACGUGGGAACGUGCCUUUAGGUUCGGAAUAACUCAGGGAAACUUGUGCUAAUACCUAAUGUGCCCUUCGGGGGAAAGAUUUAUCGCCUUUAGAACGGCCCGCGUCUGAUUAGCAAGUUGGUGUGGUAAAGGCUCAACAAGGCGACGAUCAGUGGCUGGUCUGAGAGGAUGAUUAGCAACAUUCGGACUGAGACACGGAGCAAACGCCUACGGGAGGCAGCAGUGGGGAAUUUUGCGCAAGGGGCGAAAGCAUGACGCAGCCAUGCCGCGUGAAUGAUGAAGGUCUUAGGAUUGUAAAAUUCUUUCACCGGGGACGAUAAUGACGGUACCCGGAGAAGAAGCCCCGGCUAACUUCGUGCCAGCAGCCGCCGUAACAC